rnacentral:rRNA from 2 species
CGGAGGAAAAGAAACUAACAAGGAUUCCCCUAGUAACUGCGAGUGAAGCGGGAAAAGCUCAAAUUUAAAAUCUGUCAGUCUUUGGCUGUCCGAGUUGUAAUCUAGAGAAGCGUUAUCCGCGCUGGACCGUGUACAAGUCUCCUGGAAUGGAGCGUCAUAGAGGGUGAGAAUCCCGUCUUUGACACGGACUGCCAGGGCUUUGUGAUGCGCUCUCAAAGAGUCGAGUUGUUUGGGAAUGCAGCUCAAAAUGGGUGGUAAAUUCCAUCUAAAGCUAAAUAUUGGCGAGAGACCGAUAGCGAACAAGUACCGUGAGGGAAAGAUGAAAAGAACUUUGGAAAGAGAGUUAAACAGUACGUGAAAUUGCUGAAAGGGAAACGCUUGAAGUCAGUCGCGUUGGCCAGGGAUCAACCUUGCUUUUGCUUGGUGUACUUUCUGGUUGACGGGUCAGCAUCAAUUUUGACUGUUGGAAAAAGGUCAGGGGAAUGUGGCAUCUUCGGAUGUGUUAUAGCCCUUGGUUGCAUACAAUGGUUGGGAUUGAGGAACUCAGCACGCCGCAAGGCCGAGUAAUUUUACUACGUACGUGCUUAGGAUGCUGGCAUAAUGGCUUUAAUCGACCCGUCUUGAAACACGGACCAAGGAGUCUAACAUGCCUGCGAGUGUUUGGGUGGAAAACCCGAGCGCGUAAUGAAAGUGAAAGUUGAGAUCCCUGUCGUGGGGAGCAUCGACGCCCGGACCAGACCUUUUGUGACGGUUCCGCGGUAGAGCAUGUAUGUUGGGACCCGAAAGAUGGUGAACUAUGCCUGAAUAGGGUGAAGCCAGAGGAAACUCUGGUGGAGGCUCGUAGCGAUUCUGACGUGCAAAUCGAUCGUCAAAUUUGGGUAUAGGGGCG